UUCAGGAUGGCCGAGUGGUCUAAGGCGCCAGACUCAAGUUCUGGUCUUCGUACGAGGGCGUGGGUUCAAAUCCCACUUCUGACA